rnacentral:sRNA from 1 species
UUGUGAGUAUGCCCGAGAUCCCAGCAUAAAUGUGAAUUUAAGCUUGUGUGAUUAACGUAUGUCUCCCCGGCAUAGACAGGUGUA